UAUUAUGACGAGUUUGGAGUUUAACGGUGUAGAAGAAUCUAAAUUUCUUCAAAUUUUGAUAGAAAAUACUUUAAACUAUAUAGAUUAAGGUUAAUAUUCUUGAUCUUGAAUUUAAAAGUCCUAUGCUCAAAUUUUAAAGAUUAUUCAAUUUCCACCGUCCAUUUUGAUAUGAUUUAUUUACUAAGUAAAAGAUAUCGAAAAAAACUAAAAUUUUAUUUCUAAGAAAUUCAUAUACCCUAGAUCAUAUUUAACGAUAUGGAUCAUUGAUUUGAACGCCCUAAGAUCGAAAACAAACACUAUAGUACCGAAGCUCGGUACUAUAGAUAGUAUAGUAGCCUAAUUCUAUAUAUAUAUAUUUCUUUCCAAUCUUUUUAAAUUCUUAUUUAUAAGUCAGCUCGUAUUGGGCGCGUGUUCGACUCAUUAGUAAACGAGCUGAAUACGAGCCAAAUUUU
rnacentral:lncRNA from 1 species